UACGUAGGGUGCAGGCGUUAAUCGGAAUUACUGGGCGUAAAGCGUGCGCAGGCGGUUUCUUAAGUCAGAUGUGAAAGCCCCGGGCUUAACCUGGGAACUGCGCUUGUUACUGGCAAGCUUGAGUGUGGCAGAGGGGGGUGGAAUUCCACGUGUAGCAGUGAAAUGCGCAGAUAUCAGGAGGAACACCGAUGGCGAAGGCAGGUCUCUGGGCAGUAACUGACGCUGAGGAGCGAAAGCGUGGGGAGCGAACAGG
rnacentral:rRNA from 1 species